GCUACAGGCUUAACACAUGCAAGUCGAGGGGCAGCGGGAUUGAAGCUUGCUUCAAUUGCCGGCGACCGGCGCACGGGUGAGUAACGCGUAUCCAACCUUCCGUACACUCAGGGAUAGCCUUUCGAAAGAAAGAUUAAUACCUGAUGGUAUGAUGAGAUUGCAUGAUAGCAUCAUUAAAGAUUUAUCGGUGUACGAUGGGGAUGCGUUCCAUUAGGUAGUAGGCGGGGUAACGGCCCACCUAGCCAACGAUGGAUAGGGGUUCUGAGAGGAAGGUCCCCCACAUUGGAACUGAGACACGGUCCAAACUCCUACGGGAGGCAGCAGUGAGGAAUAUUGGUCAAUGGACGAGAGUCUGAACCAGCCAAGUAGCGUGAAGGAUGAAGGUCCUACGGAUUGUAAACUUCUUUUAUAAGGGAAUAAACCCUCCCACGUGUGGGAGCUUGUAUGUACCUUAUGAAUAAGCAUCGGCUAACUCCGUGCCAGCAGCCGCGGUAAUACGGAGGAUGCGAGCGUUAUCCGGAUUUAUUGGGUUUAAAGGGAGCGCAGACGGGUCGUUAAGUCAGCUGUGAAAGUUUGGGGCUCAACCUUAAAAUUGCAGUUGAUACUGGCGUCCUUGAGUGCGGUUGAGGUGUGCGGAAUUCGUGGUGUAGCGGUGAAAUGCUUAGAUAUCACGAAGAACUCCGAUUGCGAAGGCAGCACACUAAUCCGUAACUGACGUUCAUGCUCGAAAGUGUGGGUAUCAAACAGGAUUAGAUACCCUGGUAGUCCACACGGUAAACGAUGGAUACUCGCUGUUGGCGAUAUACUGUCAGCGGCUUAGCGAAAGCGUUAAGUAUCCCACCUGGGGAGUAC
rnacentral:rRNA from 1 species